rnacentral:rRNA from 1 species
GACAGAGGUGGCAAGCGUUGUUCGGAUUUAUUGGGUGUAAAGGGCAGGUAGGUGGCUAUAUAAGUCCGAUGUGAAAUCCCACGGCUCAACCGUGGAACUGCGUUGGAUACUGUAUGGCUUGAGUACCGGAGAGGUAAGGGGAAUUCUCGGUGUAAGGGUGAAAUCUGUAGAUAUCGAGAGGAACACCAAUGGCGAAGGCACCUUACUGGUCGGUUACUGACACUGAGCUGCGAAAGCAAGGGGAGCAAACAGG